rnacentral:rRNA from 1 species
AAAGCCCCGGGCUUAACUCGGGGAGGUCGUUCAAUACUGCGGGGCUAGAGGGCAGCAGAGGGAGGUGGAAUUCCCCGGUGUAGUGGUGAAAUUGCGUAGAUAUCGGGAGGAAACACCGUGGCGAAAGGCGGCCUCCUGGGGCUGAACCUGACGCCUGAAUGCGAAAGCCUAGGGGAGCGACCGGGAUUAGAAUACCCGGUAGUCCAGCUGUAAACGAAUGAUGCUGCGUGUACGGGGUAUAAAAUCCCUCUGUGCCGAAGCUAAACCGUUAAGCAUCCCGCCUGGGGACUACGGCCGCAAGGCUUAAACUCAAACGAAUUGACGGGGGCCCGCACAAGCAAGCGGAGCGUGUGGUUUAAUUCGAUGCUACAACGAAGAACCUUACCUGGGCUGACAAUUGCACGUUGGUAGGGAACCGAAAGGGGACCCGACCUUUCCGGGAGCGUGCACAGGUGCUGCAUGGCUGUCGUCAGCUCGUGCCGUGAGGUGUCGGGUUAAGUCUCGUAACGAGCGCAACCCUUGCCCUUAGUUAUACGUGUCUAAGGGGGACUGCCCGGGAUAACCGGGAGGAAGGUGGGAUGACGUCAAGUCAGCAUGGCCUUUAUGUCCAGGGCUACACACACGCUACAAUGGCCGGUACAAUGGGUCGCGAAGCCGUGAGGCGGAGCCAAUCCUGAAAGCCGGUCUCAGUUCGGAUUGUAGGCUGCAACUCGCCUACAUGAAGUUGGAGUUGCUAGUAACCGCAGGUCAGCUAUACUGCGGUGAUACGUUCCCGGGCAUUGACACACCGCCCGUCACGUCAUGGGAGCU